UGGUGUGUAGCUCAGUGAUGGGGCAUCUGUCUGCUAUACAUAAUGCCUCCUGGGUCUGAUCCCCAGCACAACAA
rnacentral:tRNA from 1 species